rnacentral:rRNA from 1 species
UAGGGAAUAUUGGUAAUGGGCGAAAGCCUGAACCAGCAACGCCGCGUGUGCGAUGAAGGCCUUCGGGUCGUAAAGCACUUUUUGAGGGAAUGAGAAAGGACAGUACCCUUAGAAUAAGUCUCGGCUAACUACGUGCCAGCAGCCGCGGUAAAACGUAGGAGACGAGCGUUAUUCGGAUUUACUGGGCGUAAAGCGCAUGCAGGUGGUAUGGCAAGUUGGAUGUGAAAGCUCCUGGCUUAACUAGGAGAGGUCAUUCAAAACUGCCAAACUUGAGAAUAGGAGAGGGAGGUGGAAUUCCGGGUGUAGUGGUGAAAUGCGUAGAUAUCCGGAGGAACACCAGUGGCGAAAGCGACCUCCUGGCCUAUUUCUGACACUCAGAUGCGAAAGCUAGGGUAGCAA